rnacentral:rRNA from 1 species
GUUCCUACGGGACGCAGCAGUAGGGAAUUUUCGUCAAUGGGCGCAAGCCUGAACGAGCGAUGCCGCGUGAGUGAAGAAGGCCUUCGGGUCGUAAAGCUCUGUUGCGGGGGAAAAAAGGCAGCAUCAGGAAAUGGGUGCUGACUGAUGGUGCCCCGCCAGAAAGUCACGGCUAACUACGUGCCAGCAGCCGCGGUAAUACGUAGGUGGCGAGCGUUAUCCGGAAUGAGUGGGCGUAAAGGGUGCGCAGGCGGUCCUGCAAGUCGGGGGGGAAACGCAUGCGCUCA